rnacentral:rRNA from 1 species
GAUGAACGCUGGCGGCGUGCCUAACACAUGCAAGUCGAACGGAGCUAUUCAGAAACUUCCUUCGGGGAGCGGAAUCUUUAGCUUAGUGGCGGACGGGUGAGUAACGCGUGAGCAAUCUGCCUUUGGAUGGGGGAUAACAGCCGGAAACGGCUGCUAAUACCGCAUAAUGCAACGGGAUCGCAUGGUCCUGCUGCCAAAGAUUUAUUGUCCAAAGAUGAGCUCGCGUCUGAUUAGCCAGUUGGCGGGGUAACGGCCCACCAAAGCGACGAUCAGUAGCCGGACUGAGAGGUUGAACGGCCACAUUGGGACUGAGACACGGCCCAG